rnacentral:lncRNA from 1 species
UUUUUCCUAAACUUAUAUUAUUUACAAAUUUAACUAUUUAGUAGAUUGUUAAAGGAAAUAUGUGAAAUGGAAGUCAAUAUUGUAUUUUGCAAUCGGACCAUGAAAAGUGGAAGGUCAGAUUUAGGUCAAAGAGUGGGUCAUUAAUUAAUCUCCAACUAAAAAUGUUUUGGUGACCCAACAACACAAGCAAGCAAGCUCUCGCAAUCCGAUUUGAUCGUCCCUAAUUGUUCUUUAAAUGAUAAGUAAUGACCCACCAACGUCCAUCCAUCAUCUUAAGCGUGCUGCCUUUGCUAUCACCAAAUAGAGCAAUUAGAGAUCAUCAUCAUCAUCAUCAUCUCCUGAUUACUUGUAGAUUGUUCAUAUAUAUGAUAAUAAUUUGGAAGCUGGUCUCUUCAACAAAGCUCCCCCAGUGCACCUUCUCUCAUCAAGAAAGUUGUUGCCCAAGCUUCAAUCUUUAGUAUAUGGAAACAGAGGAACAAUAUGUUUCACAACUUACACUCAUUUCGUAAUACCAUCACAGCUCGAAGACACAAUGGCAUACGCUGAUGCUGCUUUGGAUCCUAUAGUUUUGUUUUUUCUCCCAGUACUUUCUCAAAUUUAUUGUAGCUUUGUAUUCUACAUAGAUAUUAUACUAUUUGUAAAACCUUUAUUUCAUUUCUCUAAUGAUAUCAUAUUAACAUAUUCUAGGAAAGAAAAAGAAAAAAAAAAAACCUCCUUCAUCUUCCACUAAUGUAGCGCGUAUUUAACCAAGUGGCACUUAUCUUCUAAGUCUUCGUUACAACCACAAAAUACAAAAUAUAGUAUCAUAACGUAGGACAUGGACUN